UCAGAUGGUAGAGCGCUUGCUUAGCAUGU
rnacentral:sRNA from 1 species